GACGAACGCUGGCGGCGUGCUUAACACAUGCAAGUCGAACGCUGAAGCUCAGCUUUUGUUGGGUGGAUGAGUGGCGAACGGGUGAGUAACACGUGAGUAACCUGCCCUCUUCUUUGGGAUAACGCCCGGAAACGGGUGCUAAUACUGGAUAUUCACUGAUCUUCGCAUGGGGGUUGGUGGAAAGGUUUGUUCUGGUGGGGGAUGGGCUCGCGGCCUAUCAGCUUGUUGGUGGGGUGAUGGCCUACCAAGGCUUUGACGGGUAGCCGGCCUGAGAGGGUGACCGGUCACAUUGGGACUGAGAUACGGCCCAGACUCCUACGGGAGGCAGCAGUGGGGAAUAUUGCACAAUGGGCGAAAGCCUGAUGCAGCGACGCCGCGUGAGGGAUGGAGGCCUUCGGGUUGUAAACCUCUUUCGCUCAUGGUCAAGCCGCGACGUGGGUUGUGGUGAGGGUAGUGGGUAAAGAAGCGCC
rnacentral:rRNA from 1 species